ACAUGAGAUGCUCUCUUCAGUCCGGGGCUUGGUUGAACGGACUCACCAGGAAACGUGACUUUCGUGUCCGACCUCUGCUGUAUCAGGAUUCGAUUCUUGGUGUUAAACAAGACAACGCUGAAGGCUCGGUGCAGCAGCCCUGCAAAGCUUUGUGUCUUAGGUUUCAGCGUGCUGACGUUCUCUGGGCCCUGAAGUCACUGCUGCUGGCUGGUGUGCUGGCCACUUGGUCGUGCUGGCCUGUCUCCCACCGGGUGGAUGCCCAGCGAGCUCUGGAUGCUGUGUAUGACAAAGACAUGGGGGUUGUUUGGAGUCUGUGAUGUGCUAUUGUCCUCCACAUAAUGGUUUUCUGCAAGAAACUAGAGAAGUUUUUCCAGCGCUCUUGGGAGGUGGGCUGUGCCACUGCCUGGCCCACCUGGCCCACCUGGCCCACCAUUACCUGAAGGGAAGCAUGAACAGCCUUUGACGUGGGAGUGGCGACUGCUGAGAGGGAACUGUCUGUACACAAGCAAUGUAGCCUUAUGGGACCUGAGUGGAGCCCCAACCCACGCAGGGCGUGUCUUCAUGGCUUUUCCUGGCCAAUCUGAUACCAAGAUGCAGUGGCCAGAAGUACCUGCACUUCCACUCCUGUCAAGUCUCUGCAUGGCUAUGGUGAGGAAGAGCUCUGCACUGGGCAAGGAAGUUGGCCGUCGAGUGAAGGAAAUGGUGAUGCUGGUGGCCCCUUUCCGGCAGUCAAGUUCCCUAUCAAGGACAUUCAGUUCUCGGAAAGUGGUGAAGGCACAUGCUUCCCUGCAUGGUGCCCGCCUCUCUCCACUCUCUAGAAAUAUUAGAGGCUAGGCUGCUGCUGUAUGUCAGGGCUAGUCCCUCUUCUAUGAAUCCAGAAUAACUCUGAAGAAGCCGAGUAACAGGCAUGAAGUGAAGAGAAAUCGCUGUAACAGGAAGACAGCAAAGCAGAUGCUAAUGACCACACUAUUUAACGAACUGGAACCAACGAGAAAAUACGGUAUUACUGAAGACUGCACUUCCUUGAACAGAGUGCUCUUCUCAGCAAAUCGGAAAUGCCUACACAAAUCGCUUUACAAGAAAGACUGUUUCAAAGCAGCACCUUUCUCAAUGUUCUCGUUCAGGUGACAAUUCUUCUUGGUCUCAGCUCCAAUUUUAUUGUCAUUUUCAUCAAUAAGGAUACACAUCUCUGCCAGGAGUUGAACCUGUUGCUUGUCGAGGUGGUUAGUGUUUAUUUCAGGCAUCAUUACAAAAUGUCUGAUCUGUUCUAGAACACUAAUAUUAAAGGAAAAGAGAAAGAAAGGC